rnacentral:rRNA from 1 species
GAUGAACGCUGGCGGCGUGCCUAACACAUGCAAGUCGAGCGAUUUACUUCGGUAAAGAGCGGCGGACGGGUGAGUAACGCGUGGGUAACCUGCCCUAUACACACGGAUAACAUACCGAAAGGUAUGCUAAUACGAGAUAAUAUAAGAGAUUCACAUGGAUUUCUUAUCAAAGCUGAGGCGGUAUAGGAUGGACCCGCGUCUGAUUAGCUAGUUGGUAAGGUAACGGCUUACCAAGGCAACGAUCAUUAGCCGACCUGAGAGGGUGAUCGGCCCCAUUGGAAAUGAGCCACGGUCCAAACUCAUACGGGCGGCAGCAGUGGGGAAUAUUGCACAAUGGGCGAAAGCCUGAUGCAGCAACGCCGCGUGAGUGAUGAAGGCCUUCGGGUCGUAAAACCCUGUCCUCAAGGAAGAUAAUGACGGUACUUGAGGAUGAAGCCCCGGCUAACUACGUGCCAGCCGCCGCGGUAAAAC